rnacentral:rRNA from 1 species
GACGAACGCUGGCGGCGUGCCUAAUACAUGCAAGUUGAGCGAUGAAGAUUGGUGCUUGCACCAAUUUGAAGAGCAGCGAACGGGUGAGUAACGCGUGGGGAAUCUGCCUUUGAGCGGGGGACAACAUUUGGAAACGAAUGCUAAUACCGCAUAACAACUUUAAACAUAAGUUUUAAGUUUGAAAGAUGCAAUUGCAUCACUCAAAGAUGAUCCCGCGUUGUAUUAGCUAGUUGGUGAGGUAAAGGCUCACCAAGGCGAUGAUACAUAGCCGACCUGAGAGGGUGAUCGGCCACAGUGGGACUGAGACACGGCCCAAACUCCUACGGGAGGCAGCAGUAGGGAAUCUUCGGCAAUGGACGAAAGUCUGGCCGAGCAACGCCGCGUGAGUGAAGAAGGUUGUCGGAUCGUAAAACUCUGUUGGUAGAGAAGAACGUUGGUGAGAGUGGAAAGCUCAUCAAGUGACGGUAACUACCCAGAAAGGGACGGCUAACUACGUG